GAGGGUGGUUAGUGGAAGCAACUGCCAUGGGUUCCUUUUCAUCCGCGCUGACUAAAUCCAUUGCCAUCGCGCUUCUUGUGAGGCCCAGAGGGAGCAUGCGAAGGGGAGAGGCAGGACCAGAGUUGAAGCGAAUCCAUAGGCGUACCAAUGGGUCUCCGGUUCCUUGAUGCGGAGACAAUGGUGUGGUUGACCGUAGGUGUGUGUCCUCGGAGGAGCUUGGAUGAGAAUCUCACAUGAAGAUAAGUCGACUUUUAAUUCAACGAACCCUUUUCUGCAAAAGCUUGUGCCCCAGUGGGGGAAUUAAGGAGAUGAGGUACAGAAAACUGCUCUGCUGCAGGACAGAUUUACUUAAAUGUAGACCCGCUAGAUGAAAAUAAGCAACUCACUUUACAGAAGCCACAAGGGGUCGCUGCUCGGGGUGUUAAGUGUACUUCUGGAUGGGGAAGUAUGCAGUCCCUUCUAAAGGGAAUCAUUGUUUUUGAGUUGUGUUUAUGUGUUUUUACAUUUCCUUAUAAGUUGUACAUGCUUUUUGCUGCUAUAUUUUAAAUUGUCUUAUGGUGACAUCGAAGUUCUCAAUCGUUUGAUUACAUCUUUGCUUCCUCUAAUAACUUCAUAUCCAAUGAUUAAAUUUUCUCACUGCUGUUCACAUAAUGAACUGUUGUGAUUAUUGAAUAUGUAAAUGAGGAUAUGUAACCUGGAUUGAAGAUGUUCGUUGUAAAAGGCAUUGACCAGUGCAGAAAAUAAUUUAAAAUCUCUCUUUUUAGGAAUUAUAUUCUUGGAGAUGUUGAAAAAAGAUUCCUGGGUCUUGGAAGAUAAUUACUAGAAAUAUGCAGGUGAGGUGGUAUAUCAUUUUUUAAUGUAUUAAGUAUUCCUGGAAUAAAAACAGUGAGUUGGAAGAGGGGAGGGUUGUUCAAGUUGAAAAAUGGAUUUAUAAAGGCUUGAGUGAAAUCUCAUGUCCUGUUUUAUGGUAUAGAAUCUCAUUAAUUUGUCUCUCUCACACACACAUAGUUCUCUGUUUUUGUUUUAAAUACUGCUUAUUUCUCUCAACAACUCUAUGAAAACAAAUAGAUUUUUUUACCUUCUAGGACUGGUCUCAUCCUUAUUGAACACCUACCUUUUUCUCAGCUUUUCAUUGGGUUUUUUUUUUUGUCUUUUGAGGGCCGCACCUGCGCCAUAUGGACAUGAGGAAGUUCCCAGGUUAGGGGUCAAAUCGGAUGUACAGCUGCCAGCCUACAUCACAGCCACAGCAAUGUGAGAUCUGAGCCGUGUCUGCAACCUACAGCGCAGCUCCCAGCAACGCCGGAUCCUUAACCCACUAAGCAAGGCCAGGGAUCGAACCUUCAUCCUCAUGGAUGCUAGUCAGAUUUGUUUCUGCUGAGCCACAAUGGGAACUCCUUUGUCAGCUUUUUAGCAAGUUUUAUGGGAACAUUUGUCAUCCUGAUAUGAUAAAAUGUAUUUCUAGUAACUGACUUAUAUUCUUGCUGCAUUUUUCAUCCUUUCAGUUCUCUGGGUUUUUGUUUUGUUUUUUGUUUGUUUGUUUGUUUUGGAAAGCCUUGGGGUCUUGAAAUUUUGGGUGACUAAAUAUAAAGACAGCUCUGAAUCUGAUUUUUUCCCGAGAAUUUUAGACCUUUUCAGCUAAUUCGUAAGUUGUACAUUUUUUGGAUAUGGACUGUGACUUUCUGGGUUAGUUAUUUAUUGCUGUGUAACAAAGUACCCAAAACUUUGCAGUUUAGGACAGCAAACACUUAUUGGGUAGGAGGGCAAGGAGGAAGGGGAAGGACCUCAGCUUCCCAACUGUCUCAGUUGGCGAGCCUCCGUUCCCACACGGCUGUUGGCCAAAGACCUCAAUUCUUCUUCGCUGUGUGACCCUCUCCGUGGGCUGCCUGAGUGUCCUCGCAGGACAGCUGGCUCUCCCCCGAGGGAGUGGUCCCAGAGAGAAAGGCUGCGAUGGAUGCUUGUUUUUCCGAUAGUCUUAUUAGAAGUGACGGAACAUCACUUCUGCCCUCUUCUGUUGGUCCUACUAUAGUGCAGGUGGGCACUGUGCACAGGUGUGACUACCCAGAGGCGAGGGGUCGUUGGGGACAUCUCGGAGGUUGACGGCCAUGCUUUAGUUAAACUUUAACUGUUUCAGUUUAGGAAGUCAAGAGAUGUAACAUCGGGCCCUCAAAUGGGAGCAUUAGAAGUAUGAGAGCACACGGAUUCAAAUAAGUGCUCUCUUUUCUAAGAUGCAUGGUUUCUUGCUAUGUGUAUAUAAAGUACUUAAGCAGUGCUACGCUCUUUCUGGAGAGUUUCUAAGGAGUCUAUGAGAAAGUUCAUUUUAUAGUCAGGACACUCUACCUUGAUUAAAUGAGAUUUUUCUUGGACCCAUUUCCCCUUUCCUAGGUGAAGGCUGCUAAGAGGUUGGUUGGAACGAGACUAUAGAUAGAAAUUUUCUGUCCCUUUCCUGUUAUUUUGCUCGGGGUGCAGGUUGACUUAGAAAAGUUGAAAUUUCUGUUGAGAAUUUUUCAAGGAAUGUAGUCUAAUUCCUUAUUGGCAGUUACACAGGUAUUUGACGUAACAUGGAGUAAAGAUGCAAAUACACAGCAGCAGAGUUAGAGGAGGUUGCCUUUCCCCCCAAAGCUUGAAUUUUAUCCAGUGUGUGCUUCUGAUCAUUGGAAACCUUGUCUAACAACAGAAACAGCAUAUAAAGCAUAACCAGCUUUGAAAUGUAUUAAGGCGUGGUUGCCCGUCCCAUGUCAGGCUUGAUGUUGAAAAGACGACACUGCCAAGUUAGCAGAAGAAACAAAUCGAAGGGUGUUGUUCUCCAAGAACACCAUUUAUCAGAUUUAUCAAGAAUUCAAAGAUUUAUAUAAUAAGGUAAGAGGUUUAUAAAUGUUUUCGUUUUGACAAAAGCCAAAAAAAUCAAAUUUGAGCAAAAAGACAUUUGAGCAAUGUGGAUAUUGUAUUCAAUUAAAAUUUCUCCUUAUUUUUUCACCUUUCAAAGACAACAAAUAGGAUUUCAAAGAUAAUUUUCCAAAUCAAUAGAUUUGGUUCAGGAUAGGCAUUUGGGUGGAUGGGAAGCUGGACUUUGAACCUUGAUAGUCAUUUUUUCUUAAAAAUAGUGAUAGAGUUCUUUCAAGUCCUGAAAUUCUUAGCGACCGUGUGUUCUCGGUUUAAAUUUGAUGAAUUAUUGGAUAUUAGUGUGCCAGUGGACGACCAUCCUAUGACUUCAGCUUUGUUCAGGAACAGUAGACAGGUCAGAAGCUGAGAAUCUUGAAUCUAAUCCCAGAUUAAUCUGUCCUUAAUUAAGCAUGUUAUCUUGCGGUGUUUCUCAAAUUUGAGGAGUGUGGGGGGGGGUUCUUUUAAAUAUUCAAUGUCUAUUUAAAUUAAUUUUGUUUCUUAAAAUUUCUAUAAACGUAAGUUGAUAUAAACUGUGUUUGUGACCCUUAAUGAAAACGCUUACAAAAUAAAUGCACUUGAAAAC
rnacentral:lncRNA from 1 species